ACUGCCAAACGAACCGCACGCAUGUCCGAGCGACCUCCUGCUCCUCUCGAUCCCCUCAACCUACGAUCUGUGACUGCAGACGCACGAGAUCGCCGCCGUCGCGGACCUAGCAGGAAGGCGCGGACGAGAUCCCAAGACGCUCCUCCUCCUCUCGCGGGAUGCAGCCGCCGCCGCCGAACCAGGGAGACGUCGGCGACCGUCGCUGCCGCCUGCACCGCCACCGCCACGCCUCGGAUACGUCGUGGAUCACCGGGACACCACCGGCGGCUGCGCCUCGGAUACUGGCGACCGGCGGUGAUCUGAGACCAACGAGUCGGCACCACAUCCCUGAUCUUCAGAACACCGAGCGAAAUAUUGGCUUGGAACGAUCUUGGGUUGGCGGGGCGGCCAGACCAGGUGGCAAAUGUGGUGCACGAGUCAACCUCACAACAUACUAUGGUGUCUAGGAUGGGCGUGGUAUAACAUGACGCUUUGUAGAAGCAUGUUAUCGAACAUCUCCACAGAAUCCCGAGCUUGCCUAAUUCCCAAAGCAUGUUAUCAUAAGGAUGAGUACGGAGGACAACUCUCUCAAUUCCCAAAGCACUAAUCUUGUCCUAAUUGCUCAUAUAUUGAAUCACUUUUCGCUGCAAAUAUGUUUUCUGUUUGAUGAGCUAGAAGAUGCUUGGAGGCUAAGGACAAAGAGGAUCUGACGUUCAUGUUUUUGGGAGGCAAUAAGUACUUUGUGCACUUUGGCUGUGGAUAUGGGUACACAUUCUUGAUGUCUCGAUGAAUUGGAGAACAGAUGUGAUGGUACGUGCUCUAUGCAAGGACAUGAGAACAAUCCUCCAAAUUGAACUACGUGAUGGGAGAGUAGUUAGGAAACUUUGUUCGUGUACGGGUUGCUUUUCCUGUAUAUAGCGGGCGCUGGAAAUUUCAGUUGCGAUGAUAGCAAGGAUCAAGGAAAAGAGAACAAUGGUGGGGCUUAAACUUCAGUACGAGCGCUUGCCGUGGUUCUGCUAUGCAUGUGGCUACAUCGGGCAUCAGGUCAUGUCUUGUGCGCGUAAGUUCAGGUGGUGAACCUGUAUGAUGACGACUACGAUGCUUACGACCGAGGAAGUUCGUGCAGCAAGCAGGAAGCACCUUGGACAAAUUCUGGAAAGAGGGGCACGACUCGGUGGUAUGAGCCCCAGCAAGGGCCAUCACAGCUGCGCCGACAAGCGAGUGUAAGUUGGUGAUGGUGCCACCGUGUCAGAGUUCGGAGACUACCCUUGGAAGCACAAAUUGGACAAAGUGCCUUGUGCCACUGGUGUUUCAACACCAGGGAUGUGAUUUUGCUCUAUAGUUUGCAGUACGUUAGACAAUUUUGUAUGCUAUUCAGUAAUUAAUGCUAAAGUUUAUUCCUACAGCUUGUACAUGAACAGGUCCCUGUUUACUGAUGGCGAAAACUCAUCCUUGAUCCAGCUUACUCCUGCAAAUGUUGACAAACGGACAAUUCUCUUCAUGCCUUAUUCAUAACAUCAAAUUUCUCAACCUGAUGCCAUCUGUCAAGGAUCUCUAAAGCCGAUGGAUUAAACUUGUGUUUUUCUCGUGUGUUCAGUAUACAUGGUUAUCUUCGUAGGCUAAUUUCACUUUUGAUGAACUGAUGAUAAAGCGACAAUGGAAUCAGAAGGUGAGCUAAAAAUAAUCUUGUUAUCUAUUGUUGUUGCAAAUUUUCCAGUAUGCGUGUAUCUAUAUCAUAAAAAAGGAAGCAAGUUUAUACCAUGAUUAUAAUGUCCUACUGAUGUGCUUAUUGUAUCGAUGAAACAUCUCGAUUGUAUUUCUUUUUACAAAUCUAAUUAAUUGGAUUCUUUUUUUCUUUCAUUUUAUAUUUAACAUUAAAGUUUGCUUUUCUAUAUUUUCUGAUUCACAAAUUACGGUCAUGCCAAUGGAAAUGAUGAAUACACUUCUAUAGUUGGUCGUAAAACCAGUCGAGCAUCUGGCCAAACCCAUUUGCGACGCAGGCCCAAAAAACUUCAUCAUACAUUCUGCAAGCUGCCUAAAGAAAAAACAGCACCACUGAAACAUACAGUAUGACUUAAAGGUAGCAAUAAAAAACCGUAUCUGGUUCAUUAAUUGGUUCGGAUAAUCAAAUUAUUCAAUUGAAACAUGUGAGAAAUUAUUAUAAAAAGAAUCUGGAUGCAUCAUAUUAAAAGUGGAAUAGGGGCAGCAGCAUCGAUCCUUCGUAAUGACCAUCUGCUGGAAGGCGAUGCGGUUGGCGAGAAUUUGCUUAGCUCUUUCGAUGACGCCACACGGGCAUUCGUGAAUUCCGAGUAAGCCGCGACCUGGUUUGACAGGGUGAGGGAUGCGAGAGUGGUUGACAAUGAGGUGGCCCUGUCUAAGGGCACCCAGUAGACUGAGAAAGGAACAUUGUUUCUGUAACACAAUGAUAUUUAGACUUUCAGAGCACCCCCUGCACUACGUGAGAUUUAAAAGGUACUCAGAUUAGUGUUUGCUGAUUUCUGUAAAUUCCGUUUGUGUGAGUUUUAUAUUUUUCUAUCCCUGUCGACGUACUAAUCCACUGUUCAUCGAUGUGCAGGUGGUACGGCCGGCGGAUGCAUCCAUGUGCUAAUUAUCUGGCACCAAGCGGACGGAGCCGAACGAGUUGGGGCCACCAGCUGGCUGACAGUGCAGACAUGGGCGAGCAUGAGCAACAUGGAGCUAGGGAGUAAGCUGGGAGCGGAUGGACGGGGCGUGAUGUAGAACGGGAAACAUCCUUUCUAAAGUUUUCUUGGGGCUGUACUGACGAACACUCAACCCUUUGACAACACUUAUUCAGUUUCUCACCACAAGUAGUAAGAGACAUGAUCAGAUCGCUAACCAGUGAUGAAGGCGUUAUGUGGUCGUUGACGUCAUGGUAAAUGUUGGUGUAGUGCCAAAUAAGAAGACACGGAACAAAAUCCCUAAGCUAGACAUUAUGGUAUAAUGGAAAUUUGAGGAUUCUUGCCUAUCAUACCCAUUUGUAGUCUACAUCAUAUUGCAAAAUUCCAUGAACAUUUGGUCCACAAUAUUUUUUUUGUUAUAUGGUUCCUGCCGAAGCGUGGAUGUAGGUGGAUGUGGGCGCUGUGGCCACCACCAAGGAUGUAGGGGUCGCGCCCCAAGCUGCAAGUACGUGGUAGGUGCAUCAAAACUGACGAGGACACGGGAGCCGCACUGCAGCAUGAGUGUUUUUCAUAAUUUAUUUAGGCCUAUGUACUGGAUGAUAUUUUCAUUGCUGGCAAUCUUUAUCAACCUAUCUAAGAGGACAUUGAUAUACUAAUUGCUGCACAAGUGUUCUCAGCACCAGCUAGCAAGAAGUGAGUAUGAUUGUUCAAUGCUCACUGUUGUAAGCUUGUUUCACGAGGAGCUUCUCAGUGUUGUACAUGUAGGGUGUGGAUAAUAUAAAUAAAAUAUAUUUGUUCAUUCUUCUAUUGUACCUCCGAUUCGUCCCCCACGUUUCAGUAGAGUAGAGUUAUGUGCUUAAUGAAGGAAAUAUGCC